rnacentral:rRNA from 1 species
UAUCUGAUGGGCGGGAGCCUGAGCAGCCUGCCGCGUGAAUGAUGAAGGUCUUAGGAUUGUAAAAUUCUUUCACCGGGGAAGAUAAUGACGGUACCCGGAGAAGAAGCCCCGGCUAACUUCGUGCCAGCAGCCGCGGUAAUACGAAGGGGGCUAGCGUUGCUCGGAAUUACUGGGCGUAAAGGGCGCGUAGGCGGACAGUUAAGUCAGAGGUGAAAGCCCAGGGCUCAACCUUGGAAUUGCCUUUGAUACUGGCUGUCUUGAGUUCGGGAGAGGUGAGUGGAAUGCCGAGUGUAGAGGUGAAAUUCGUAGAUAUUCGGCGGAACACCAGUGGCGAAGGCGACUCACUGGCCCGAUACUGACGCUGAGGCGCGA